rnacentral:rRNA from 1 species
AUUGAACGCUGGCGGCAUGCCUUACACAUGCAAGUCGAACGGCAGCACGGGAGCAAUCCUGGUGGCGAGUGGCGAACGGGUGAGUAAUAUAUCGGAACGUGCCCGGUCGUGGGGGAUAACGUAGCGAAAGCUACGCUAAUACCGCAUACGAUCUACGGAUGAAAGCGGGGGGAUCGCAAGACCUCGCGCGAUUGGACCCCCGNGGGCCGAUAUCAGAUUAGGUAGUUGGUGAGGUAAAGGCUCACCAAGCCGACGAUCUGUAGCUGGUCUGAGAGGACGACCAGCCACACUGGGACUGAGACACCGGCCCAGACUCCUACGGGGAGGCAGCAGGUGGGGAAUUUUGGACAAUGGGCGCAACGCCUGAUCCAGACAAUGCCGCGUGCAGGA